AUUGAACGCUGGCGGCACGCCUAACACAUGCAAGUCGAGCGGUAACAUGAUUUGUAGCAAUACAAAUUGAUGACGAGCGGCGGACGGGUGAGGAACACGUAGGAAUCUGCCCAGAAGCGGGGGACAACCAAGGGAAACUUUGGCUAAUACCGCGUAAUCUCGCAAGAGUAAAGCUGCCCGCAAGGGUGGCGCUUCUGGAGGAGCCUGCGUCCGAUUAGCUAGUUGGUGAGGUAAGAGCUCACCAAGGCGAUGAUCGGUAACUGGUCUGAGAGGACGACCAGUCACACUGGGACUGAGACACGGCCCAGACUCCUACGGGAGGCAGCAGUGGGGAAUAUUGGACAGUGGGGGCAACCCUGAUCCAGCGAUGCCGCGUGGGUGAAGAAGGCCUUCGGGUUGUAAAGCCCUUUAGGUUGGGAAGAAGUGUACGGGGCGAAUAACCCCGUAUGUUGACGGUACCGACAAAAUAAGCACCGGCAAACUCUGUGCCAGCCGCCGCAGUAA
rnacentral:rRNA from 1 species